rnacentral:rRNA from 1 species
UACGGAGGGUGCAAGCGUUAAUCGGAAUUACUGGGCGUAAAGCGCACGCAGGCGGCUUGUUAAGUCAGAUGUGAAAUCCCCGAGCUUAACUUGGGAACUGCAUUUGAAACUGGCAAGCUAGAGUCUUGUAGAGGGGGGUAGAAUUCCAGGUGUAGCGGUGAAAUGCGUAGAGAUCUGGAGGAAUACCGGUGGCGAAGGCGGCCCCCUGAACAAAGACUGACGCUCAGGUGCGAAAGCGUGGGGAGCAAACAGG